rnacentral:snRNA from 1 species
AACGCAAUGUGAUUUCUGCC